GCUGGAAUACCUUACAUACUUAAAAGACUGCCCUUGGUUCUCAAAAGACUUAUCAACUGCUUAAUAAUCAUUUAAACAUUUUUGUGUGUAUGAAAUAAGCACAUUUUAAAUAAAAUGAAAUGCCAUGGUCCAAUAAUGGCAGUAACUUUUAGAGAUGCUGUAAUCAGCAAUCUUACCUUCUCCCCAGUCUCUCCUCAUAGUUCCCUACCAUUUAAAUGCUGAACAUUUGCCGUCUUUCAGUGGGGAUUCUCAUAAGGAAAUCUGAAACCUAUAUUUGAUGUAUAUCCACAAAAAUAAAUACUGAGCAUGUUUCAGCGUGACUGUCCUUUUUUAGAAGCAAUGCCUGGUAAGCCUAGCCUUAAGAUUUUAGUGCAACAAUGAAAACUGAACAUGCAUCUACAAAAUGCAUUGAACAUCAAGCUUGAAUGUGCUUUUCUGACUAAUCUACAUAAAUAAAGUUAAAUUUAUCUCUGAUAGUUGCUGCAUCUAGUAAAAAUGACUACAUAGAUGUUCUCAAAUUUAGAAAGCCUUCUUAGGAUAAUUUGAUUUAAAAUGUAGGCUAUUUAUCAAGCAAGAAAUUCACUUAGAAAAGACUCAGGAAACCCCUUAAAGAGAUGCAUUCAAUGGAACUUAAAGCAUUGAUCUGCACAGAGCUGCUUCUCACACUGCAACUGCAUCUACUUUGCUUCUUCGUGGAGUCUUGCUCUGUCUCCAGGCUGGAGUGCAGUGGCACAGUCUCCGCUCACUGCAACCUCUGUCUCCCUUUCAAGUCAUUCUCCUGCCUCAGCCUCCCGAGUAGCUGGAACUACAGGUGCCAAAAUUUAAAGAGGAUUCAAAGUGAAAGAAACGUGGGGAGUAAAAGUUGAAGAGGAGAACACAGCAGAAAACCACUACUAUGAAACUGGGAGAUGAGGAUGCUGUUGUCCUUGACACUUAUAUAUUUGAAAGUGUUGUCUCCGAGUUCCUUCAGAAAGACAUUAUUGGACUGUAAAAGUGGUAAGUAGCUAGAGGAAGAUUUAUAUUUUAGAGGGGCAGAGAAAGAAAUUACAAUUGCAACUUUUCUAAAGCAGAUGCUCUAAGAAAAGAAAGGCCAGGGACGUAUAUUUAGGAAAAUUGUCUAAAAUUUAGUCAAGCUGAGGGAAGCAUUU
rnacentral:lncRNA from 13 species